rnacentral:tRNA from 1 species
GGAAUGUGGCUCAAGUGGUAGAGCGCUCGCCUGACAUGCGUGCGGCCUGGGUUCGAUCCUCAGCACCA